rnacentral:rRNA from 1 species
GAUGAACGCUGGCGGCGUGCCUAAUACAUGCAAGUCGAGCGAACAGACGAGGAGCUUGCUCCUCUGACGUUAGCGGCGGACGGGUGAGUAACACGUGGAUAACCUACCUAUAAGACUGGGAUAACUUCGGGAAACCGGAGCUAAUACCGGAUAAUAUAUUGAACCGCAUGGUUCAAUAGUUAAAGACGGUUUUGCUGUCACUUAUAGAUUGAUCCGCGCCGCAUUAGCUAGUUGGUAAGGUAACGGCUUACCAAGGCAACGAUGCGUAGCCGACCUGAGAGGGUGAUCGGCCAAACUGGAACUGAGAAACGGUCCAGACUCCGACGGGAGGCAGCAGUAGGGAAUCUUCCGCAAUGGGCGAAAGCCGGACGGAGCAACGCCGCGUGAGUGAUGAAGGUCUUCGGAUCGUAAAACUCUGUUAUUAGGGAAGAACAAAUGUGUAAGUAACUAUGCACGUCUUGACGGUACCUAAUCAGAAAGCCACGGCUAACUACGUG